AAUAAGGGUAUGUGGUGGAUGCCUUGGCAACAGACGACGAUGAAGGACGUGGCCGGCUGCGAAAAGCUACGGGGAGGUGCUGAGCAACCAGUGAUCCGUAGAUGUCCGAAUGGGGAAACCCCGCUAUCUUCAUCGAUAGUGACUUGGCGUACUUUUGUACGUCGAGGGUUAUACCUGGCGAAUUGAAACAUCUUAGUAGCCAGAGGAAAAGAAAAUAACGAUCAUCUUUUUACCGUUUAGCUGAUAGCUGAUGGGGGCUUUUAGUUUUCUAAUAGCUUUUAUUGGCUAGAAGCUAACGUAAAGAAGAUGUUCAUAUUCCCUGAGUAGUGGCGAGCGAAAAGGGAACAGUCCAAACCAGACCUUCGGGUCUGGGGUUGUAGGGUACAAACGAUGGUUAAAACCGAACAAGCACUGUGCUGUGUAGUGGAAGACGGCUGGAAUGCCUGACCAUAGAGCGUAAGAGUCGCGUACACGAAACAUUCGUGCAUCUUGUUUGUUUGUAUACCUGAGUAGGGCGGGGCACGUGGAAUCCUGUCUGAACCUGGGAGACCUACUAAAGUCAGCUUGCUGACACUCCCAAGACUAAAUACGCCUGUUGACCGAUAGUGAACUAGUACCGUGAGGGAAAGGUGAAAAGUACCCCGGUGAGGGGAAUGAAAUAGACCUGAAACCACAUACCUACAUAGAGUCAGAGCCCUUCGGGGUGAUGGCGUGCUUUUUGCAGAACGAACCACCGAGUUCGCUGUAUGUCAUUGAGCUUAAGGGCAAUUCUGUCCGGAGGCGGAGCGAAAGCAAGUGUUAAUAGCGCGAUAUUCAAUGAUUAUUGUGUGGGCGCAAGCCUACACAAUAUUCAUUGACAGUGGCAUGCACGAGACCCGAAACCAGGUGAUCUAUCCAUGAGCAGGGUGAAGCGACUGUAACAGGUCGUGGAGGCCCGAACCGUUGAGCUGUGCAAUACUCUCGGAUGACUUGUGGAUAGCGGAGAAAUUCCAAUCGAACCUGGCAAUAGCUGGUUCUCGUCGAAAUAGCUUUAGGGCUAGCCUUGUGACGAAGACAUGAGUGGUAGAGCACUGCAAGGGAUCUUGGGGGCUUGCCUCCGGACCCUAGCAAACUCCGAAUGCUUAUGUUCAAUUCACAGGAGUCAGAACGUGGGGGCUAAGCUCCACGCUCAAAAGGGAAACAGCCCAGACCGUCGUUUAAGGUCCCAAAAUCUUAUCUAAGUGGGAAAGGCGGUGGGAUUGCGUAGACAGCCAGGCAGUUGGCUUAGAAGCAGCCACCUGUUAAAGAAAGCGUAACAGCUCACUGGUCAAGCGAUCCUGCGCCGAAGAUUCAACGGGGCUCAAGAUAAGUACCGAAGACACGGAGUGUCAUCUUUUUGAUGACAUUGGUAGACGAGCAUUUCGUACAGCGUUGAAGGUAGACCGUGAGGUUUCUACUGGAGCGUACGGAAGAGAGAAUGGUGGUAUGAGUAACAGAACACGGAGUGAGAACCUCCGUCACCGAAAACCCGAGGUUUCCUGG
rnacentral:rRNA from 1 species